CUCGUGGGCCUCCUGGUGGCAAAGUAUUCCCUGGUUUACCUUGUCCAACUGGAAGGAAGGGUAUGAAAGGAGUUCAGGGAAUAUCAGGACAGAAAGGUGUGAAAGGUCGGAGAGGACUUUCUGUAAAACCAAGUAUUCCCGUCCAGCAGAUACCAGGGCAUCAUACUCCACCUCAUGCUCCAAGAAGAGGAUCA